rnacentral:rRNA from 1 species
CCUACGGGAGGCAGCAGUAGGGAAUCUUUCACAAUGGGCGAAAGCCUGAUGGAGCAACGCCGCGUGCAGGAUGAAGGCCUUCGGGUUGUAAACUGCUUUUAUAAGCGAGAAAUAUGAUGGUAACUUAUGAAUAAGGAUCGGCUAACUACGUGCCAGCAGCCGCGGUCAUACGUAGGAUCCGAGCAUUAUCCGGAGUGACUGGGUGUAAAGAGUUGCGUAGGUGGCAUAAUAAGUAGCUAGUGAAAUCUGGUGGCUCAACCAUUCAGACUAUUAGCUAAACUGUUAAGCUCGAGACCGUUAGGGGUAACUGGAAUUACUAGUGUAGGAGUGAAAUCCGUAGAUAUUAGAAGGAACACCAAUAGCGUAGGCAGGUUGCUGGGACGGUUCUGACACUAAGGCACGAAAGCGUAGGGAGCAAACGGGAUUAGAUACCCGUGUAGUC